CGAGGGCUCAGUACCUGAAAACAGCCAUGGAGUGGAAAAUACUUCCCAUUUACUUGCUGCUGCUUUCUGUUUUCUUGAUUCAGCAAGCUUCUUCUCAAGAUUUAUCAAGCUGUGCAGGGAGAUGUGGGGAAGGGUAUUCUAGAGAUGCCACCUGCAACUGUGAUUAUAACUGUCAACACUACAUGGAGUGCUGCCCCGACUUCAAGAAAGAAUGCACUGUGGAGCUUUCCUGUAAAGGCCGCUGCUUCGAAUCCUUUGCAAGAGGGAGGGAGUGUGACUGCGACUCAGACUGUAAGAAGUAUGGCAAGUGCUGUUCCGAUUAUGGCACUUUUUGUGAAGCAGUAAAAGAUAAGAAGAAAAGAACUCCUAAAAAUAAACCUACCCUAGAACCACCAGUUAUAGAUGAAGGUGGAAGUGGACUGGAUAAUGGUGAUUUCAAGCUCACCCCAACUCCUAUCAUUCCCACCACUCAACGUAACAAAGUUACCACAACUCCCAAGAUUACAACAGUAAAACCAACACUUCCUAAGCCCAGUCUUCCACCUAAUUCUGACACAACUAAAGAGAUACCUUCGACAGUCAGAGAGACAACAGUUGAAACUAAAGAGACUUCUACGACAAGCAAACAGACUUCCACUAGCGCAAAAGAGAAGACAACUUCAGCUAAAGAGACACGAACUGCAGAGAAUACAUCUACUAAAGGUCUUGCACCCACACCUGAAGCUCCUGCUACAUCUACACCCAAAGCUAAAACUAUAACCAGAUCCCCUACACCCACCACCCCCAAGAAGCCUACUCCCACCACCAAGGAGCCUGCACCCACCACCACCACCACCAAGGAGCCUGCUCCCACCACCACCACCAAGGAGCCUGCUCCCACCACCACCACCACCAAGGAGCCUGCUCCCACCACCACCCCGAAGGAGCCUGCUCCCACCACCACCAAGGAGCCUGCUCCCACCACCACCAAGGAGCCUGCUCCCACCACCACCAAGGAGCCUGCUCCCACCACCACCACCAAGGAGCCUGUUCCCACCACCACCACCAAGGAGCCUGCACCCACCACCCCCAAGGAGCCUGCUCCCAACACCGAGGAGCCUGCACCCACCACCCCCAAGGAGACUGCACCCACCACCACCACCAAGGAGCCUGCACCCACCACCACCACCAAGGAGCCUGCACCCACCACCACCCCCAAGGAGCCUGCUCCCACCACCACCACCAAGGAGCCUGCUCCCACCACCCCAAGGAGCCUGCUCCCACCACCCAGGCCUGCACCCACCCCACCAAGGAGCCUGCUCCACCACCCCCAAGGAGACUGCACCCACCACCACCAAGGAGCCUGCUCCCACCACCCCCAAGGAGCCUGCACCCACCACCACCACCAAGGAGCCUGCACCCACCACCACCACCAAGGAGCCUGCUCCCACCACCCCCAAGGAGACUGCACCCACCACCACCAAGGAGCCUGCUCCCACCACCCUCAAGGAGCCUGCUCCCACCACCCCCAAGGAGCCUGCACCCACCACCACCACCAAGGAGCCUGCACCCACCACCCCCAAGGAGCCUGCUCCCACCACCCCCAAGGAGCCUGCACCCACCACCAAGGAGCCUGCUCCCACCACCCCCAAGGAGCCUGCACCAACUGCCCCCAAGGACCUGCACCAACUUCCCCCAAGGAGCCUGCUCCCACCACCACCCCCAAGGAGCCUGCUCCCACCACCCCCAAGGAGCCUGCUCCCACCACCCCCAAGGAGCCUGCUCCCACCACCCCCAAGGAGCCUGCACCAACUGCCCCCAAGGAGCCUGCACCAACUUCCCCCAAGGAGCCUGCUCCCACCACCACCCCCAAGGAGCCUGCUCCCACCACCCCCAAGGAGCCUGCUCCCACCACCACCACCAAGAAGCCUGUACCCACCACCCCCAAGGAGCCUGCACCAACUUCCCCCAAGGAGCCUGCACCAACUGCCCCCAACGAGCCUGCUCCCACCACCCCCAAGGAGCCUGCACCAACUGCCCCCAAGGAGCCUGCACCAACUGCCCCCAAGGAGCCUGCUCCCAACACCCCCAAGGAGCCUGCACCAACUGCCCCCAAGGAGCCUGCUCCCACCACCACCCCCAAGGAGCCUGUACCCAUCACCCCCAAGAAGCCUGCUCCCACCAUCCCCGAGGAGCCUGCACCAACCACCCCCAAGGAGCCUGCACCCACCAGCCCCAAGGAGCCUGCACCCACUACCACCCCCAAGGAGCCUGCUCCCACAACCCCCAAGGAGCCUGCUCCUACCAUCCCCAAGGAGCCAGCUCCUGCUAAACCCAAGGAGCCCACUCCAAAUUUUCCUGAGACACCUGCUCCAAGUUCUCCUGAUAUACCUGCUCCAACCACCUCAAAGGCCUCUACUUCAACUACUGCCGUGCAGCCUGCCACUACUCCGAAGAGCCCUGCUGAAUCAACUCCUCAGCCUCCUAUAGAACCCACACCAAAGGCUCUCGGAAAGAGUCCCAAGGAACCUGCAGUACCCACAAUCAAGGCUCCUAAAGUGAACAAACCUGAAAUGACUACAACAGUUAAAGACAAGUCCACAGAAGAAGACAUACAUCCUACACCUGAAAUUACAACAGCUGUAGCUAAGAUUGUAACAGAGGCGGCAACUAAAACAGAAAAGACUACUGAAUCCAAAACACCAAGUACAACCACAGGUGUAACAUCUACCACAACCAAACAGACCACGUCAUCCAAAAUUACUCCUAAAACAACUCUUGCACCUAAAGUAAUGACUGCCACAAAGACGACGACCAAAAAGACUGCAAACAAGCCUGAAAAAACCACAGCUCUACCAAAAGGCACAGCUACUAAUUCUCAAGUGACAACUCCUAAACCGCAGAAACCAACCAAAGCACCCAAAAAGCCCACUUCGACCAAAAAGCCAACACCUAGAGUGAGAAAACCAAAGACUACACCAACACCCCCAAAGAUGACAUCAGUAAUGCCUGAACCGACUCCUACCUCUUUACCAGAAGCCAUGCUCCAAACCACCACCAGCCCUACCCCAACCCCCAACUCAGAAAUAAUUGAGGUAAACCCGAAGAAUGAGGAUGGAGAUGCUGCUGAAGGAGAAAAACCUCACGUGAUUUUCAGGCCCCCUGUGCUAACUCCUAUAGUUAUUCCAGGCACUGAAAUCAUAGUGAGAGGACACGGUCAAGGCUUCGGCAUCAACCCCAUGUUUUCAGAUGAAACUAAUUUAUGCAAUGGUAGGCCUGUGGAUGGACUGACUACUUUGCGUAAUGGGACACUAGUUGCAUUUCGAGGUCAUUAUUUCUGGAUGUUGACUCCAUUCAGUCCACCACCUCCACCUCGGAGAAUUACUGAAGUGUGGGGCAUUCCCUCCCCCAUUGAUACAGUUUUUACUAGAUGCAACUGUGAGGGAAAAACGUUCUUCUUUAAGGGUUCUCAGUACUGGCGUUUCACCAACGACAUAAAAGAUGCAGGAUAUCCCAAACUAAUCUCCAAAGGAUUUGGAGGACUAAAUGGGAAAAUAGUGGCGGCUCUCUCAAUAGCUCAAUACAAGAACAGACCUGAAUCUGUGUAUUUUUUCAAGAGAGGUGGCAGCGUUCAGCAGUACACUUACAAACAGGAACCCACCCAAAAGUGUACUGGAAGAAGGCCUGCUAUAAACUAUUCUGUGUAUGGAGAAACAGCACAAGUUAGGAGACGUCGAUUUGAACGUGCUAUAGGACCUUCUCAAAUACACACCAUCAGGAUUCACUACUCACCUGUCCGAGUCCCUUAUCAAGACAAAGGCUUCCUCCAUAAUGAAGUUAAAGUGAGCACACUGUGGAGAGGACUUCCAAACGUGGUUACUUCAGCAAUAUCACUGCCCAACGUCAGAAAACCCGAUGGCUAUGAUUACUAUGCCUUUUCUAAAGAUCAAUACUAUAACAUCGACGUGCCAAGUAGGACAGCAAGAGCCAUUACUACUCGUUCUGGGCAGACCUUAUCCAAUACUUGGUACAAGUGUCCUUAG
rnacentral:lncRNA from 1 species